GAUGAGCGCUGGCGGCGUGCCUAAUACAUGCAAGUCGAGCGAACAGACGAGGAGCUUGCUCCUCUGACGUUAGCGGCGGACGGGUGAGUAACACGUGGAUAACCUACCUAUAAGACUGGGAUAACUUCGGGAAACCGGAGCUAAUACCGGAUAAUAUAUUGAACCGCAUGGUUCAAUAGUGAAAGACGGUUUUGCUGUCACUUAUAGAUGGAUCCGCGCCGCAUUAGCUAGUUGGUAAGGUAACGGCUUACCAAGGCAACGAUGCGUAGCCGACCUGAGAGGGUGAUCGGCCACACUGGAACUGAGACACGGUCCAGACUCCUACGGGAGGCAGCAGUAGGGAAUCUUCCGCAAUGGGCGAAAGCCUGACGGAGCAACGCCGCGUGAGUGGUGAAGGUCUUCGGAUCGUAAAACUCUGUUAUUAGGGAAGAACAAAUGUGUAAGUAACUAUGCACGUCUUGACGGUACCUAAUCAGAAAGCCACGGCUAACUACGUG
rnacentral:rRNA from 1 species